rnacentral:miRNA from 1 species
AUAUAUAUAUAUGUAUGUAUGUGUGUGUGUGUGUGUGUGUGUGUGUGUAUGCACACACACACACACACACAUAUAUAUAUAUUUGUAUA